ACCAAAAAAAACAAGAAGGAUUCAAGUUAUUAUAACGCCUUGUUUUACUGCCAAUAAUGAAAUAAGGAUUGAUGAAUUAGCAAUUUCAGAUAGUGCAUUGUAGUAUCUGCAGAUGACCGACGAUGCAAAACACACUGUUAGAAAUCUUUAUUUUAUUAUGAGAAACGCAAAAAUAUUCAUUCUGAAGCUGUGGCAAGAACAGAAAUCAUGCCACAACAGAAGCCCUUCGGAAAACUUUGGGAAAACCUCAUGUAAUUUGGAUGUAAUUAGCCUAAAAUCCUCGUUUCUACAUCAAAAGGUCGUCAUAUGAUUUCAUGACCAGACCGUUCAGCCCUAACUGUGCCACAUUUCAUCAGUCUUUUUUAAUAUGAGAGUGGAAUAAUUUCUGGUUAAGGGCUUUCCAUUACCAACCCUAUAAUGUGUAUGUAGCUGUUUUUAGUGAAUAUGAGGUGGAAUAGUGGAAGGUUUAUCUCCUGAGCCAAGACAAAACAAACUCGCCUUGGAC